GAAUAUUUUUUUUGUCCCCAUGAAUGUGAGUUGUUUCCUUCCUUGUAAUUGUUGUAUCUGAUAUUGUUCUGCUUCUUUCAGGCUUUACUAACCUUUUUCUUACAAAAGUUUCCCUCCUUGUAUCAUACCUUCAACUGGAAAUGAAGUUAUCACACUAAUUAAGUUACAGUUGAGGACCACCGCAUUAAAGCUUUUAGGAUUAAGAAAGUCAUUGGAGUUGUCAAGCUGAUGAACCUCUCUCUAUGAGGGACUUUCAGGCCGCUGUAACCAUACAGGAAUUUUGGUAUUCAUUUCAUUGAUUGAUUCAAGUGCCUAUCACCUAAACUAGGCUGAAGCUUUUGUGGAAUGGAUGCUGACAGGGAUUUGACUAGUAAUUGGGGUUCGGAAGCUUUUUCUGCAAUCUGUUUCUUACAAUAAGCAGCAGGCCGGGAGCCUGGUAAUUGGUGUUUGUGCAAAUGGACCAUUCAAAUCCUGCCACCUCAAUCGUUGAAGGUUGCUUGAAGGAUUGUGUAUCACAUGGUCUUUCACCAUAAAGGAGAUUUUGAAUGCAUUUAACUGAAUGAAGCGGCCCUUAGCUAAACUAGGCUGAGGGUUUGUGUGGAAUGGAUGCGGAUGCUGAAUGGAAUAUAAUAGGUACAUGGGAUUUGCAAUCUAUUACAAUCUGUAUCCUAACAAUAGACAUGGAGCUCAGAGAAAUGGAGUUUCUGUAGCUGUAUUCAGACUGAAAGAUUGUGUGGACAUCUCUAUACCAAAGCGUUCCACCUCACCAUCGUCAAAGAUUGCUUAUAUGAAGAAAGAGCGAGAUAGAUGCUAUUCGUGCUAAAGACAUCCCUCAAGGUGGAUUGACUCAAGGGCAAGAAACUCAGAUCGCUCGAAAUGAACAGAGAACAGAACAGAUCCUAGAAGAGCUUGACAAUUUGGAAGAGACCCUGAAUGAGAGUAUUCGAGAAAGUUUAGGUGCACGUGUAGGGAAGCAAUCUCUUGGUAAGAAGAAAGGAGCAAUUGAAGAAGAAGAACUUUUGAGUGAUGAUGAAGAAUUUUAUGAUCGAGCAAAGAAGCCUUCUAGCACAAUGGCAAGUGAAAACCAAUCAAUUGAAAUCUUUGAUAAGAGAGAUGCAAUCACGGAAGAAAUCUUUCUUAUGCGAGGAUGACCACUAUUCGUC